UGGUGGAGUGAUUUGUCUGCUUAAUUGCGAUAACGAAAUAGUCAAGCCAGCUUCGGCUAGUGGCAUGCUUCUUAGAGGGACUAUCGGCUUCAAGCCAAUGGAGGUUUGAGGCAAUAACA
rnacentral:rRNA from 1 species